GAAGACUCUUCCUUAUGGAACGAUGCCAAUCAAAAGUAGGGCUGGGAAGGAUGGUGGAAGUUUAGGGAAUGCUCCCUCUGGAUGGAGUCAGAAUGGAGAAGAGAACUUCAACCUGACUUCUGUGCUGACCUUGAGAAGAAAAAUUAGAAUCUACAGUCAUUGAGGGUUUUGAAGAAUUAUACCUAUGAACAUGUGUUAUUCAAAAUAUAACUCUGAAAUCGUUCCUUCUGCCCUGUAAAAACAAGUCAUUAUAGUCAAGCAGUGUUUGCCCUGUGAAUUUAUCAAGCCACACGCACCUUAAUGACCGAUGACCUAAAGGUUUCUGAAUUGCAAGCCACCGGGCUAGAUUUUGCAGGACAGCACAGGCCUUGAGCAGAGAUCAGCUUUGGCUUCAGGCUACAAAAGAAGAGAAAUCUAUGGCAGAAUUGCUAGGAUGGAUUGGUUACAAGCUUGGAACCUAUUUUUGGGUCAAAACUCUGGAACAUAUUCUAGGGAGGA